ACUACGGGUGGCAGCAGUGGGGAAUAUUGGGCAAUGGGCGCAAGCCUGACCCAGCAACGCCGCGUGAAGGAAGAAGGCUUUCGGGUUGUAAACUUCUUUUGUCAGGGAAGAGUAGAAGACGGUACCUGACGAAUAAGCUACGGCUAACUACGUGCCAGCAGCCGCGGUUAUACGUAGGUGGCAAGCGUUGUCCGGAUUUACUGGGUGUAAAGGGCGUGUAGCCGGGUUGACAAGUCAUAUGUGAAAUCCUGCGGCUUAACCGCAGAACUGCAUGUGAAACUGUUGAUCUUGAGUACUGGAGAGGCAGAUGGAAGUCCUGGUGUAGCGGUGAAAUGCGUAGAUAUUAGGAGGAACACCAGUGGCGAAGGCGGGCGGCGGGACAGCAACUGACGGUGAGGCGCGAAAGCGUGGGGAGCAAACAGGAUUAGAUACCCGGGUAGUC
rnacentral:rRNA from 1 species